CCCUAGUUCGGAUCGUAGGCUGAAACUCGCCUACAUGAAGCUGGAAUUGCUAGUAAUCACAGGUCAGCAUACUGUGGUGAAUACGUUCCCGGGCCUUGUACACACCGCCCGUCACACCAUGAGAGUUGAGAAUACCCGAAGCCCAUGUCAAAGUGGUCGAAGGUAGGCUUGAUGAUUGGGGUGAAGUCGUAACAAGGUAUC
rnacentral:rRNA from 1 species